ACAGAGAUGGCGAGCGUUACUCGGAUUUAUUGGGUGUAAAGGGCAGGUAGGUGUUUUGCCAAGUUGCAAGUGAAAUCCUAAGGCUUAACCUUAGAACUGCUUGCAAAACUGGCGAAAUUGAGAUCGGUAGAGGAAAGCGGAAUUCCCGGUGUAGGGUUGUAAGGUGUAGAUUCGGGGAAGAAUACGAGAGGCCAAGGCGGAUUUCUUGGACGAUUCUGAGGUUGGGCGGCUAAGGCUCGUGGAGGAAUGAU
rnacentral:rRNA from 1 species